GUGGUGGAUAAUGGUUGACAACUUAUCAUCAUCUGCUUAUUAUUAACAAAUGACGGUCUUGUAACGGGUGCACGCUCGUGCGGGAUCGGGUCUUAUGCAAUGAGAGCCUGCGAACCGUGUCAGGUCGGGAACGAAGCAGCACUAAGCGGAAUCUCUCAUGUGUUGUAAGGUAGCCUGGUUUCGCCCUGCGUGUGUCCAUUACAGGACCGUUACGCUUUAUUCCCACAC
rnacentral:SRP_RNA from 1 species